AUAGAUCUAUUCUGUAAAACAUCUCUCUCUCUCUCUAUCUCUGUUUUUGCCUGUGUUGAAUCUAGUGCCAUAUUUCCUCUUAGAUCUACCCAUCAACCCAUCUGAAUCCAUUUCUAUGGCACUCCAUCAACAUUCCGAACUACUUAUCAGUCACCAACCAAUGAUCUCUUUUCUGGCGCUUUAUAAGGUUUAACUUCUACAAGUUCAGAUCUUCAGGAUAUGGAACAGAAAGCUGCAACAGCAUAUGAUCUAGCUGCAACAAAAAACUGAAAUAUGCCAACCCCUCCUCCAAUCAUCAUCAUGGUUCUACUUUCAUUUUUUCAGUUCUUGGAGGACUUGGCAUAUAUAUCUUUCGUUUAGCAUUUUAUUAAAUUACAAUUUAUGCUUAUUUUGCAGUCAGUAAUAUGGAUUUAAGAACUUCAGGAAACGACGAACAAGAGAAGAGAAAGAUUUGUUACUUUCUCAAGCAGACUAAUCAACGUAUUCAUGUUCCAAACGGUGAAUUUCUGCUAUUGCUGCAUGUCUCGAUCAAACUAUAGUAUCAGUUAAUUGGGCAGCUACAAAAGCAUAUGAUAGAACAAACCUUAAGCACGGGAGCACACAAGAAUACGUUACUCACUGAGAAGGAUAAUUUAUAUCAAGUCCAACUUAGAGUAUCCAGCUUCCAUGUUGAAUUUUGAAGAGCCUGAACUGGUGUUCAAGACAAAGAGAAGUUAAGGCAAGGUCAAUUAGUAUAUGGUAUGUAGAGAUUACAGAUCUACUUAUGUAUAAAAUUUUCAGUUCAUGUUAGAGCUGUAGUUGGAGCCUGGGAGAAGUUGAGGUCAUAAGCCAUUUGGUUUGUUGGUUAGUAUUUAGAGAAGUAUAACACUAUUGAUGUACUAAAGUUUGCAUAGGAAGAUUUAUUUAUCUAUUUAGUUGAUUUUUACAAUAUAGGAAAUUAUUGUUGUAUAUUCAAUACACAGAUAUUGGAUUUUCAUUAUAUGUACCAAAAAAAAU